UGCAGUCGAACGAUGAACCACUUCGGUGGGGAUUAGUGGCGAACGGGUGAGUAACACGUGGGCAAUCUGCCCUGCACUCUGGGACAAGCCCUGGAAACGGGGUCUAAUACCGGAUACUGAUUGUCUUGGGCAUCCUUGAUGAUCGAAAGCUCCGGCGGUGCAGGAUGAGCCCGCGGCCUAUCAGCUUGUUGGUGAGGUAACGGCUCACCAAGGCGACGACGGGUAGCCGGCCUGAGAGGGCGACCGGCCACACUGGGACUGAGACACGGCCCAGACUCCUACGGGAGGCAGCAGUGGGGAAUAUUGCACAAUGGGCGCAAGCCUGAUGCAGCGACGCCGCGUGAGGGAUGACGGCCUUCGGGUUGUAAACCUCUUUCAGCAGGGAAGAAGCGAAAGUGACGGUACCUGCAGAAGAAGCGCCGGCUAACUACGUGCCAGCAGCCGCGGUAAUACGUAGGGCGCAAGCGUUGUCCGGAAUUAUUGGGCGUAAAGAGCUCGUAGGCGGCUUGUCGCGUCGGUUGUGAAAGCCCGGGGCUUAACCCCGGGUCUGCAGUCGAUACGGGCAGGCUAGAGUUCGGUAGGGGAGAUCGGAAUUCCUGGUGUAGCGGUGAAAUGCGCAGAUAUCA
rnacentral:rRNA from 2 species